rnacentral:lncRNA from 1 species
CUCGUAACGCAUUCGUAGGAUGAUUCGAACCCGCCGAUGGAGGCUGCACAAAGAAGCAGAGAUUGCAUGUUUGAAUAAUAUGGGAAAACAAUUUUAGAACUUCAAGAUUGCAGUAAUCUAAGAAUACAAAAAGAUUAGACUCAAUUAAAAGUUUUGGCAGCACCUCCCCUAAACAGGAGGUUUACAAAACCUGCAAAAACAACGGCACGAACGCCGACAUCCACAACGGCACGAAGGCCAACAUACAUGCAAAG